rnacentral:lncRNA from 1 species
ACCAACCAAGAUGACCGCCACGGCUAAAAAUAGAAUAUGGAGGUUAAAUGCAGUUUUUGGUUAUUACUCAAAAACCAAAGCAUUUAGAGCAUUUAGAGCAAAUCUGACAAUGGGUAAAAUUGUUUAUCUGGUCAAGAUCUAUCUGCCCUGAAAUUUUCAGAUGAAUCAGACAACCCAUUGUUGGGUUGCUGCCCCUAAAUUGGUAAUUUUAAGGAAAUUUUACUGUUUUUGGUAAUUAUCUUGAAUAUUAUUAUGGAUAGAUAUAAACUGUACACAGCAAAAAUGUUCAGCAAAGUAAGAUUUACAAAUAAGUCACUAGAACCAAAAUGGUCAGUUGACCCCUUUAGGAGUUAUUGCCCUUUAUAGUCCAUUUUUUAACAAUUUUUUCGUAAAUCUAAGUUAACUUUUUCAAAAAUCUUCUUCUCUGAAACUACUUAAGCCAAAUUUUACCAAACAUUGCCAGAAUCAUUAUUAGGCUAUUAAGUUUAAAAAUUGUGUUUUGUGACCGGGCUAACCAACAAAGAUGGUCGCUACGGUUAAAAAUAGAACAUAGGGGUAAAAUGCAGUUUUCGGCUUAUAACUCAAAAACCAAAGCAUUUAGAGCAAAUCUGACAAGAAGUAACAUUGUUUAUCUGGUCAAGAUCUAUCUGCCCUGAAAUAUUUAGAUGAAUCGGACAACGCGUUGUUAGGUUGCUGCCCCUAAAUUGGUAAUUUUAAGGAAAUUUUGCUGUUUUGGGUUAUUAUCUUGAAUAUUAUUAUAGAUAGAGAUAAACUGUAAACAGCAAUAAUGUACAGCAAUUUAAGACUCAAAAAUAAGUCAAAAUGACCAAAAUGGUCAAUUGACCCCCUAAGAAGUAAUUGUCCUUUAUAAUCAAUUUUUAAAAAUUUUCAUAAAAUUUGUAAAUUUUUACUAACAUUUUCCACUGAAACUACACGGACAAGUUCAUUAUAGACACAGAUAAUUGUAAGCAGCAAAAAUGUUCAGUAAAGUAAGAUGUUCAAACACAUCCCAAUCACCUUAACCAAAUUUUGUCAUGAACUGUCUGCUUCCUGUGUUUAAUUCACAUAUGCCAAGGUGAGCGACACAGGCUCUUUAGAGCCUCUAGUUAAUAUAUAUUAUAUUCAGUCCACCGUGGCCUAUAGAAGUGUUAUGCUGUUUGACCCACUGCAA